ACGGAAGGCAGCAGCUAAGAAUAUUCCGCAAUGGACGAAAGUCUGACGGAGCGACGCCGCGUGGAUGAUGAAGGCCGGAAGGUUGUAAAAUCCUUUUAUAACUGAGGAAUAAGUAAGGUGAGAGAAACGCCUUAUGGUGACUGUAGGUUAUGAAUAAGCAACGGCUAAUUACGUGCCAGCAGCCGCGGUAACACGUAAGUUGCGAGCGUUGUUCGGAAUUAUUGGGCGUAAAGGGCAUGUAGGCGGUUUUGCAAGCUUGGUGUGAAAUCCCGGAGCUUAACUCCGGAAUUGCGUUGAGAACUGUAUAACUAGAGUCACUGAGGGGCAAUCAGAAUUCCUGGUGUAGGGGUGAAAUCUGUAGAUAUCAGGAAGAAUACCAAUGGCGAAGGCAGGUUACCAGCAGAUGACUGACGCUGAGGUGCGAAGGUGCGGGGAGCAAACAGGAUUAGAUACCCUGGUA
rnacentral:rRNA from 1 species